CUGGACAAGUUUUGGGGAAGUUCCAGCUCCCAGGAUGUGAUGUGGAGACCCAGCCUCGAACGAAGUCAGGCCUGAAAAGGCUAACAACCCUGACCGUGGUGGUUUUGGGCCUUGGAUUCCUGGCCAGAGUUGUGUCUUCAGCCAGUAGUUUUACCCGGAGAAAGAACAAAUAAAUCUUGUGUAACCCA